UACGUAGGGGGCAAGCGUUGUCCGGAUUUAUUGGGCGUAAAGAGCGUGUAGGCGGCUUUACAGGUCCGUUGUGAAAACUCGAGGCUCAACCUCGAGACGCCGGUGGAAACCGUAAGGCUAGAGUCCGGAAGAGGCGAGUGGAAUUCCUGGUGUAGCGGUGAAAUGCGCAGAUAUCGGGAGGAACACCUAUGGCGAAGGCAGCUCGCUGGGACGUUACUGACGCUGAGACGCGAAAGCGUGGGGAGCAAACAGG
rnacentral:rRNA from 1 species